ACAUUGACAAGUGGAAGAAACUUCUGACAAAUUUGAGAGACACCGUCCGCUCAUCUCUCUAGAACUUUCCUUUCCACCGCCUUAAAUAUACAUCUUCUCUCUCCUCCGCAUGACAAACAACACUCCCCGGAAGAUCUCAAAGCUCUCAAAUUUCACUCAAAGCUCAAAUUGAUCAACUAAAUUCCGUUAAAUUGCAUCCAAUUCCAAAACCCAAUUCUUGUAACUCUCUUGGGAAUGUAAAAAAUCCUCACUUGAAAGUGAGAGCACGAAUUGGGGGUGCGUGAGAAACAGAGCAAUACCAUGGAUGGAGUGGUGGUGAAAGAGGAAGAGAUUGUGACAUGCACUGUUGGUUCAUCAUCCUCUUCUUCUUCAAGCUUCUCACCUCAGCCAAUAGAGGGCUUACACGAAGUGGGCCCUCCCCCUUUUCUCACAAAGACCUUUGAAAUGGUGGAGGAUCCUUCUACAGACGCCAUUGUCUCCUGGAGCAGAGCUCGCAACAGUUUCGUUGUUUGGGACUCUCAUAAGUUCUCCACCACUCUUCUUCCUCGCUACUUCAAGCACGGAAACUUCUCCAGCUUCAUUCGUCAGCUUAAUACAUAUGGUUUUAGAAAGGUUGAUCCUGACCGAUGGGAAUUUGCAAACGAAGGGUUUCUGGGAGGGCAGAGGCAUUUACUGAAGACCAUCAAGAGGAGGAGGCAUGUGUCACAGAGUAUGCAACAAGAAGGUGGAGGAGGAGCUUGUGUUGAACUGGGCCAGUAUGGACUGGAGACUGAGCUUGAAAGAUUGAAGAGAGACCGAAAUGUUUUAAUGACUGAAAUAAUGAGGCUGAGGCAGCAACAACAAAAUUCAAAGGAACAAGUCAUGGCAAUGGAGGGUCGGUUGCAGACCACAGAGAAAAAACAACAGCAGAUUAUGGCUUUCCUUGCCAAAGCACUCAAUAGCCCAUCUUUUAUCCAAAACCUUGUUGAGAAGAAGGCUCGGAAUAAAGAGUUGCGUGGUAUGGAAAUUGGUCGAAAGCGGAGACUAGCAGCUAGCCCCAGUGUGGAGAAUCUGCAAGAAAAACCUAAAACCCAUGUUGUGGACUACUCAGCAAGCCAAGAUCAGGGAGAGUUGGAAACUAUGGAAUCGCAGAUUGAGACCUUUUUCUCAGCUGCUGCAUUGGAUAAUGAAUCAAGCAGUGAUAUCGUAGACCCUCAUUCAAGUUCAGUUGGUGGCAACUUAGGCAUUGUUAAUGAGACUACAUGGGAGGAGCUGUGGAGCGAUGAGCUCAUUGGUGGCAAUCCGGAGGAAGACGUUAUUGUGGUGGGUGAUGAAUCAGAUAUUGAUGUCGCGGUGGAGGAUUUGGUUGCAGAGCCAGCAGAUUGGGGUGAGGACUUGCAAGAACUUGUUGAUCAAAUGGGUUAUCUAAUCAGGUCCAAGCCUUGAUGAUAAGAAAAUGUCUGUGAUGGUGAAGUGGUUGUGUGCUGAGUUGGUCCCUGCAACCCCAUUCCUAUCUUUAAUCCAGAUAUUGCAUGGGGGAUGGUCAAAGUUGCAAAGGGGCCAACGAUGCGGACCGGCCAACGGAGACCUUUGAGGGGUUCUGUUCCUUGAACUUAUACUUCUGAUAUAGCUUCAGAUUGCUGUAGUCAGUGUACAUUUGUUCAUUCAAGUAUGUAUAUUUAGCACUUAUCUGUUAAGUCAGUUAUCUCGUAUGCUACUAUUGGAGACCUGGAGUGCAUGAAGUCAGUUUCUCUACAAAAGAUGAGAAAGUGGUUGUUGGUGUUCAAAUGCCUUUCAUUGAGUGCUGCAGAUCCACUGCGUUAAGAAUUUCUGCUUGCAAAUGUUGAAGAAACUUCUCACUACCUGAAAUUAUGUAAAUAUAAAAACAGUUGAUUGUACAUGUCUUGUU